rnacentral:tRNA from 1 species
UGGCUCAGUGGUAGAGCGCUUGCCUUGCAUGCAUGACGCCCUGGGUUCAAUUCCUCAG